CGUUAAGUUGCAGGGUAUAGACCCGAAACCCGGUGAUCUAGCCAUGGGCAGGUUGAAGGUUGGGUAACACUAACUGGAGGACCGAACCGACUAAUGUUGAAAAAUUAGCGGAUGACCUGUGGCUGGGGGUGAAAGGCCAAUCAAACCGGGAGAUAGCUGGUUCUCCCCGAAAGCUAUUUAGGUAGCGCCUCGUGAAUUCAUCUCCGGGGGUAGAGCACUGUUUCGGCUAGGGGGCCAUCCCGGCUUACCAACCCGAUGCAAACUGCGAAUACCGGAGAAUGUUAUCACGGGAGACACACGGCGGGUGCUAACGUCCGUCGUGAAGAGGGAAACAACCCAGACCGCCAGCUAAGGUCCCAAAGUCAUGGUUAAGUGGGAAACGAUGUGGGAAGGCCCAGACAGCCAGGAUGUUGGCUUAGAAGCAGCCAUCAUUUAAAGAAAGCGUAAUAGCUCACUGGUCGAGUCGGCCUGCGCGGAAGAUGUAACGGGGCUAAACCAUGCACCGAAGCUGCGGCAGCGAACGUAUCACCCAAGACAACUUUACGGAGUUGACGAUUGACGGAGCGAAGCGACGUCAAAGCGUUCAUUAAAGUCGAGUUGGCUUAGGGAUACGUUCGUUGGGUAGGGGAGCGUUCUGUAAGCCUGUGAAGGUGUGUCGUGAGGCAUGCUGGAGGUAUCAGAAGUGCGAAUGCUGACAUAAGUAACGAUAAAGCGGGUGAAAAGCCCGCUCGCCGGAAGACCAAGGGUUCCUGUCCAACGUUAAUCGGGGCAGGGUGAGUCGACCCCUAAGGCGAGGCCGAAAGGCGUAGUCGAUGGGAAACGGGUUAAUAUUCCCGUACUUGGUGUUACUGCGAAGGGGGGACGGAGAAGGCUAUGUUGGCCGGGCGACGGUUGUCCCGGUUUAAGCGUGUAGGUGUGUGUUCCAGGUAAAUCCGGUUCACUUUAACACUGAGGCGUGACGACGAGGCACUACGGUGCUGAAGCAACAAAUGCCCUGCUUCCAGGAAAAGCCUCUAAGCAUCAGGUAACAUCAAAUCGUACCCCAAACCGACACAGGUGGUCAGGUAGAGAAUACCAAGGCGCUUGAGAGAACUCGGGUGAAGGAACUAGGCAAAAUGGUGCCGUAACUUCGGGAGAAGGCACGCUGACACGUAGGUGAAGUGAUUUACUCAUGGAGCUGAAGUCAGUCGAAGAUACCAGCUGGCUGCAACUGUUUAUUAAAAACACAGCACUGUGCAAACACGAAAGUGGACGUAUACGGUGUGACGCCUGCCCGGUGCCGGAAGGUUAAUUGAUGGGGUCAGCGCAAGCGAAGCUCCUGAUCGAAGCCCCGGUAAACGGCGGCCGUAACUAUAACGGUCCUAAGGUAGCGAAAUUCCUUGUCGGGUAAGUUCCGACCUGCACGAAUGGCGUAAUGAUGGCCAGGCUGUCUCCACCCGAGACUCAGUGAAAUUGAACUCGCUGUGAAGAUGCAGUGUACCCGCGGCAAGACGGAAAGACCCCGUGAACCUUUACUAUAGCUUGACACUGAACAUUGAGCCUUGAUGUGUAGGAUAGGUGGGAGGCUUUGAAGUGUGGACGCCAGUCUGCAUGGAGCCGACCUUGAAAUACCACCCUUUAAUGUUUGAUGUUCUAACGUGGACCCGUAAUCCGGGUUGCGGACAGUGUCUGGUGGGUAGUUUGACUGGGGCGGUCUCCUCCUAAAGAGUAACGGAGGAGCACGAAGGUUGGCUAAUCCUGGUCGGACAUCAGGAGGUUAGUGCAAUGGCAUAAGCCAGCUUGACUGCGAGCGUGACGGCGCGAGCAGGUGCGAAAGCAGGUCAUAGUGAUCCGGUGGUUCUGAAUGGAAGGGCCAUCGCUCAACGGAUAAAAGGUACUCCGGGGAUAACAGGCUGAUACCGCCCAAGAGUUCAUAUCGACGGCGGUGUUUGGCACCUCGAUGUCGGCUCAUCACAUCCUGGGGCUGAAGUAGGUCCCAAGGGUAUGGCUGUUCGCCAUUUAAAGUGGUACGCGAGCUGGGUUUAGAACGUCGUGAGACAGUUCGGUCCCUAUCUGCCGUGGGCGCUGGAGAACUGAGGGGGGCUGCUCCUAGUACGAGAGGACCGGAGUGGACGCAUCACUGGUGUUCGGGUUGUCAUGCCAAUGGCACUGCCCGGUAGCUAAAUGCGGAAGAGAUAAGUGCUGAAAGCAUCUAAGCACGAAACUUGCCCCGAGAUGAGUUCUCCCUGAGACUUAGAGUCUCCUGAAGGAACGUUGAAGACGACGACGUUGAUAGGCCGGGUGUGUAAGCGCAGCGAUGCGUUGAGCUAACCGGUACUAAUGAACCGUGAGGCUUAACCUUACAACGCCGAAG
rnacentral:rRNA from 1 species